UUAUGAAGUGUGAUCACAAGAGGACGCCAUUAGACCAUUUUCCUUCUGUUACAGCUGUUUGUUUUUUUUCUCUGUUUUUAUUUUUUAUUUAACAUGACGAAUGUCCGGUAACGUUUACUGAACGUGUGUGGCUAGAAGGGAUAGAGCUACGGCCGGAAAAUAACAAUAAAGAACAUUCGCCACCUAUCACAUUCUGUUUUAUUAUCGUCUACACAUACCCCAUCCCUAAACCGACCUCUUACAAUAAUCCAAAUACAGUAAAUGUUGUUCAGUUUGACAAAAACGAGGCAAUUGAUGUGCGCAUGCCCAGUAAGCUCCGGUGGCUGUGGCUCUAUUCCUUCUAGCUUCAACUUACAGCACACCUGCAUGCCUAGGCUACUUCAAACCCCUGAAAAGCACAUGGACUUUGAUAGACUGGAGACAAAUGCUGCCUAAUGUAACGGGAGGACGUGCACGUAACAGGCUGUGAAUCAGACAUACACAUCCUGAACACACACACACAGAGCGCCAUGGCUUAAUCAGCUAAUAGUGGUGAGUGGGACUGUAUCAUGCUUGUAGUGCUGAAUUAAUUUCAACAUUUUCACAGCUGAGAUCUUUUGGUCAUUUUUGGGGAAGCAGAUCGCUCUUGGUUGUAGACAUCCUCAUGGCUCAAAAAUACACACUGUUACAUGACUGCAUAAACAGUGCAUUUUACAAAAACACAAUACCAUCACAACACAUCACGACAUGAUUUAAAGGAAA
rnacentral:lncRNA from 1 species